rnacentral:rRNA from 1 species
UACAGAGGGUGCAAGCGUUAAUCGGAAUAACUGGGCGUAAAGCGCAUGUAGGUGGUUUAUCAAGUCUGAUGUGAAAGCCCUGGGCUUAACCUGGGAAUGGCGUUGGAAACUGGUAGACUGGAGUCGGACAGAGGGCAGUGGAAUUUCCGGUGUAGCGGUGAAAUGCGUAGAGAUCGGAAAGAACAUCGGUGGCGAAGGCGGCUGCCUGGGUCCAGACUGACACUGAGGUGCGAAAGCGUGGGGAGCAAACAGG